rnacentral:RNase_P_RNA from 1 species
GGAGUUGACUAGACAGUCGCUGCUUUACCAUCGUCCUUUUGGGCGAUAGGUAGAGGAGAGGAAAGUCCGGGCUCCACAGGGCAGGGUGCCAGAUAACGUCUGGGGGGUGAAAACCCACGACCAGUGCAACAGAGAGCAAACCGCCGAUGGCCUGCUUAUGCAGGAUCAGGUAAGGGUGAAAGGGUGCGGUAAGAGCGCACCGCGCGGCUGGUAACAGUCCGUGGCACGGUAAACUCCACCCGGAGCAAGGCCAAAUAGGGGUUCACUAGGUACGGCCCGUAUCGAACCCGGGUAGGCUGCUUGAGCCAGUGCGCAAGUGCUGGCCUAGAUGAAUGAUUGUCCACGACAGAACCCGGCUUAUCGGUCAACUUCACCA